rnacentral:rRNA from 1 species
GACGAACGCUGGCGGCGUGCUUAACACAUGCAAGUCGAACGAAGAGCGAUGGAAGCUUGCUUCUAUCAAUCUUAGUGGCGAACGGGUGAGUAACGCGUAAUCAACCUGCCCUUCAGAGGGGGACAACAGUUGGAAACGACUGCUAAUACCGCAUACGAUCUAAUCUCGGCAUCGAGGAUAGAUGAAAGGUGGCCUCUACAUGUAAGCUAUCACUGAAGGAGGGGAUUGCGUCUGAUUAGCUAGUUGGAGGGGUAACGGCCCACCAAGGCGACGAUCAGUAGCCGGUCUGAGAGGAUGAACGGCCACAUUGGGACUGAGACACGGCUCAGACUCCUACGGGAGGCAGCAGUGGGGAAUCUUCCGCAAUGGACGAAAGUCUGACGGAGCAACGCCGCGUGAGUGAUGACGGCCUUCGGGUUGUAAAGCUCUGUUAAUCGGGACGAAAGGCCUUCUUGCGAAUAGUGAGAAGGAUUGACGGUACCGGAAUAGAAAGCCACGGCUAACUACGUG